GAUGAACGCUGGCGGCGUGCCUAAUACAUGCAAGUCGAGCGAACGGACGAGAAGCUUGCUUCUCUGAUGUUAGCGGCGGACGGGUGAGUAACACGUGGAUAACCGACCUAUAAGACUGGGAUAACUUCGGGAAACCGUAGCUAAUACCGGAUAAUAUUUUGAACCGCAUGGUUCAAAAGUGAAAGACGGUCUUGCUGUCACUUAUAGAUGGAUCCGCGCUGCAUUAGCUAGUUGGUAAGGUAACGGCUUACCAAGGCAACGAUGCAUAGCCGACCUGAGAGGGUGAUCGGCCACACUGGAACUGAGACACGGUCCAGACUCCUACGGGAGGCAGCAGUAGGGAAUCUUCCGCAAUGGGCGAAAGCCUGACGGAGCAACGCCGCGUGAGUGAUGAAGGUCUUCGGAUCGUAAAACUCUGUUAUUAGGGAAGAACAUAUGUGUAAGUAACUGUGCACAUCUUGACGUUACCUAAUCAGAAAGCCACGGCUAACUACGUG
rnacentral:rRNA from 1 species